AUGUUCUGUUUCUGCCUGCAGAGUUCCCUGCUGAAGCUCCAGGCGCUGGAGGUGGAGGGGGGGCCCUCGCUGGGUCCGUCCCCAGAGGAGAGCCCCCCUGCCCUGGGCGGCAAGGGGCAGAGGGGCCCCUGUGGCCCCGCGGAGCUCCGAGGGAAGGAGGAGAAGACCCUGGUCCUGUGUCACGGUGUCCCCCCAGAGGACAGCAGCCUGCCAGAAGAGACCCACUCAAAUCACCACCAGGGGUCCUGGGGCCUCACUACACUGAAAACCUACCACUGUGUAUUCGUGGCAGCCGAGGAGGUUCAGAGGUUCUUCAGGUCGUCGUCAAGGUCUUUAGAUGAGCCGCUCACGGUCCUGGGCAGAACCCCCCAGUCCCCCAGACUCCAUCCCAGCCAGCAGCCCCUGCCUCCAGAUGGAGCGCUGCCCCCCGGUCCUCACCACUCCCCUUACUCCCCCCAGAGGAGCAGCCCUAGAUGUGAGGGGGUUGGAGGAGGUGGGGGAGGAGAAGGCGGAGCUCUGCUCCAGCUGCUGGCAGGCGGGCCCAGCCCCCUCCCCUCCCCAAGAUGCCUCAGCCACAGCCUGAGGUUCAACUCCGACCCCGACACGCCUCCUUCACCGCCCUGCAGCCAGCAGUACAGACUGUCUCGAGGUCGGGGGGACAGGACGGAGGCAUUGGAGGACGACUGUCCCCCCUCCAUCCCCUUCCUCACCAGACAGAUUCAGACGCUGAAGAAGAAAGUUCGCAAAUUUGAGGAUCAGUUUGAGCAGGAGAUGAACUACAAGCCGUCACACAACGAUAAAUAUUCAAACCAGGAGAUGAUCCGAGUGAUGAGCGAACUGGCCAAAGCUCGGAAACAGCUCAAAGAGCUCAGACUCAGACAGUCGGUGUUUGAGUCGAAGGAGCAGGACGGUGCAGAGAACAUCUGCAGGUACAGCUCCGGGCAGCAGGGGGCGACAGAGCACAAACCAACCCUGGAGGAAACAGUAGAGUCUCUGUUCAGACGUCUGCGAGAGAAGAGACAAGAUCUUGGUCUCCCCGACAACAUGAAGGAGAUGACUCAGGCUCAGAUGGUGUUGGAGAAGAUCACGCUGCAGAAAUGUCUUCUGUACUUUGAGAGUCUUCAUGGUCGACCAGGAACCAAACAGGAGAAGAACCUGGUGAAGCCUCUGUAUGACAGAUACCAGAUGAUCAAACGUUUACUGUGCGCCAGCCCCAUCUCCACCAUCGAGGAAGAGGACGGAUCUGACGAAGACUCCAUGAGUUCAGUGACGGUGGUCGAACGUCCUGUCCUACCUCCUCUCAGAGCAGCCCGACCUCCAGCCGGCGAGGAGGACAGCGACAGGGACAGCGACCCGGCUUUCGUGUCCCCGAUAGACGAAGUGAAAGCCGUCCGUCAACAAGCGGCUGUCACCACGGCCAACCUGCACGAAGCCUCAAGGUCUCAGCUGCUUCAGAGUCUGCGGGAGACGAGAGGCGAGAAGAAGACGAGGCGUAAAGCUCUGAGAGUGUUCGAGGACCAGUUUUACCGUCAGACCGGGAGGUGAGAGACAAACCUCAGGAACUAAACAGGAAGUCAAACCUCCAGCGUGGCUGCACAAAACCUUUAUUCUGUGUUGAAAUACACAUUAUAUUGAAGAAAACUAUUUGAGAAUCUGCCAGAAAGAGGAUCGCAGCCCGAUGAAAGAAGAAUACCAGGAGUACAAACAGCUGAAAGCUAAACUGCGGCUGCUGGAAGUUCUGCUCAGCAAACAGGACGUCACCAAACCCAUGUGAGAGAUGACGGAUGCUGCCAUCAAUCAAAACUCUGCCGUUACGAUCAGAUCAUAACGUGUUUGACAGCUGAACGUUCUGGGAUGUCUGGAGUUUUGGUACGUCUUCCUCCAGUAACCGACUUGUCGCUGCCUCCUCUUCAGACUGAGCAUUUCGAAAAAGUGUAAAUAUUCAAGCAGAGUUUUAUAGACCAGACGUCUGUUGUCUGUACCAGUGUAAACCAGCAUCCUACAGUAUCUGUUCACAUGAAUUAUUGUGAAACUGCCUUUAUUCCAUUCAGUAACUGAAAUUUCUUUUCCAUGUGAUUUUCGCCUUUGAUUUAAAGGACCAAACAUUUUUAUACGAGACUAAAUGAGUGUGUCAGACUGAAAGCACUUUAAGGAGAAUACUUCAUUAGGAAGGUAGAAGAAGGACUGAACCAAGAAGAAGAAGAUGGUCGGGCUGAUUGCAGUGAUGGCGGUAAUAAACUGAACCGCCAAGUAGUGAGGUGGCUAAACCAACAGCAGCAGGGGACAGGAGGUUGUUGGAGGGAUCGAGCUCGUGGUCGCUGGGCCGAGCAGAGAAGUAGAAGAAGAACACGGUAGAUGGUGGCAAAGCACCUUGAUGUUGGUUGCCACCUGCCAAUAAACCAAACAAAGAAGAAGUACAAGAAGAAGAAAGCACUUUAUUAAGUAGUGGAAAGAGAAAUACAGCAGUAGGUGGCGGUAAUGUACCUUGACGUUGGUUGCCAUCCGGCAAUUAACCGAACAAAGAAGAAGAAACGAUGCGGCGUCGAGACACUGAACCGUCUGAGAGUUGAGAAAACAUCCUGUUCACUUAAUGGUUUUUCUGGAGCUUUUGACCAUUUCACACGUUUUCUUAGUUUCCAUGGAGAUGUGUAAUUUUGUGACGAGUAAAUUCAGACUAUAAAGUUAUUUGAUCUAAAAUCUCAUGAGGUCACGAAGUCAGUUCGACUCAUACUUUAAUUACAUUUGUAAAUCUACAUCUCCCUAAUAACUUAACUGAGGAAAUUCUUUGAUGUUCAAAGGCUCCAAAUCAAGUGUUAAUCUCAUUGAGAGCUGGGCCCUGAUUUUACUGCUCUGGUUUCAGAAAUGUAAACGUGACAAACUAAACAACGUCCCAGUUCACAUCUGGAACAGCUGCUGAUGUUCAGGGUCUCAGUGAAAUCUCCACUGGAAACGUUUGAGGAUGAAGAUGCAAUUUACAAAUUAUUGUCCAUAAACUAUAUGUGAAGAAAAUAUAUCAAAGCACUUUAUGUUUAAAAGAGAAUUUAUUUUUUAUUUUGUGUUAGUAUUCAGUUUCUGUUUACAGAUCAUUGUUGUGUUUCACAUUGAUUCCAAUCAUUUUGAGAUAUUUGCAUUAACAUUAUCAGAGAAAAGCUGCAGGUAAAUAAUCCUGUGAAGAAUCUCGACUGAAGUUUGGAGAAAAGGGCUCAAACACCGAAAUUCAAUUACAAACUCCCCAGUGGAUAAAGAAUGAAAGUGAAAUGAGCUGAAAAAACAAAAGCUGUUUCAAAUCGUGUUGGAUCCAUUUCUCGAACUAACUUCAAUAUAACAUGAACAUUCACCUUAGUUCUAUAGAGAUGUGAUUUCACCAGGAGCUCUGACAGUGGUCAAACGUCUCCUGAUGGCUCCACUGUGCACGUCCGUGUAGAGGUCACGGGGUCGAACAUGGACUCGUGCUGUGAUGAUAAAAUCCUCCCUGUGUUGUGGAACUCUGGUUUGCUUGAUAUAUUUCUAUACAAAUCACAAUAAAUAUUUUUGCUAAUAA